CGUUAUAGGAUCUCGUUGAGA
rnacentral:miRNA from 1 species